rnacentral:rRNA from 1 species
CCUACGGGAGGCAGCAGUGAGGAAUAUUGGUCAAUGGACGAGAGUCUGAACCAGCCAAGUAGCGUGAAGGAUGACUGACCUAUGGGUUGUAAACUUCUUUUAUAAAGGAAUAAAGCGAGGCACGUGUGCCUUUUUGCAUGUACUUUAUGAAUAAGCAUCGGCUAACUCCGUGCCAGCAGCCGCGGUAAUACGGAGGAUCCGAGCGUUAUCCGGAUUUAUUGGGUUUAAAGGGAGCGUAGAUGGGUGUUUAAGUCAGUUGUGAAAGUUUGUGGCUCAACCGUAAAAUUGCCAUUGAUACUGGCUGGCUUGAGUACAGUUGAGGUAGGCGGAAUGCGUGGUGUAGCGGUGAAAUGCUUAGAUAUCACGAAGAACCCCGAUUGCGAAGGCAGCUUACUAAACUGUAACUGACAUUGAUGCUCGAAAGUGUGGGGAUCAAACAGGAUUAGAUACCCCUGUAGUC